rnacentral:rRNA from 1 species
CAGUAGCCGCGGGAAUACGUAGGGUGCAAGCGUUAAUCGGAAUUACUGGGCGUAAAGCGUGCGCAGGCGGUUCGCUAAGACAGAUGUGAAAUCCCCGGGCUUAGCCUGGGAACUGCAUUUGUGACUGGCGGGCUAGAGUAUGGCAGAGGGGGGUAGAAUUCCACGUGUAGCAGUGGAAUGCGUAGAGAUGUGGAGGAAUACCGAUGGCGAAGGCAGCCCCCUGGGCCAAUACUGACGCUCAUGCACGAAAGCGUGGGGAGCAAACAGGAUUAGAUACCCGCGUAGUCCCUGUCUCUUAUAC